CACGUAGGGGGCAAGCGUUGUCCGGAUUCAUUGGGCGUAAAGAGCUCGUAGGCGGUUCGAUAAGUCGGGUGUGAAACCUCCAGGCUCAACCUGGAGACGCCACCCGAUACUGUCGUGACAAGAGUCCAGUAGGGGAGCGUGGAAUUCCUGGUGUAGCAGUGAAAUGCGCAGAUAUCAGGAGGAACACCAGCGGCGAAGGCGGCGCUCUGGGCUGGCACUGACGCUAAGGCGCGAAAGCGUGGGGAGCGAACAGG
rnacentral:misc_RNA from 1 species